GGAGCAACGCCGCGUGAGUGAUGAAGGUUUUCGGAUCGUAAAACUCUGUUGUCAGGGAAGAACAAGUAUCGGAGUAACUGCCGGUACCUUGACGGUACCUGACCAGAAAGCCACGGCUAACUACGUGCCAGCAGCCGCGGUAAUACGUAGGUGGCAAGCGUUGUCCGGAAUUAUUGGGCGUAAAGCGCGCGCAGGCGGUUCCUUAAGUCUGAUGUGAAAGCCCACGGCUCAACCGUGGAGGGUCAUUGGAAACUGGGGAACUUGAGUGCAGAAGAGGAGAGUGGAAUUCCACGUGUAGCGGUGAAAUGCGUAGAGAUGUGGAGGAACACCAGUGGCGAAGGCGACUCUCUGGUCUGUAACUGACGCUGAGGCGCGAAAGCGUGGGGAGCAAACAGGAUUAGAUACCCUGGUAGUCCACGCCGUAAACGAUGAGUGCUAAGUGUUAGAGGGUUUCCGCCCUUUAGUGCUGCAGCAAACG
rnacentral:rRNA from 1 species